rnacentral:rRNA from 1 species
GACGAACGCUGGCGGCGUGCUUAACACAUGCAAGUCGAACGGAAAGGCCCUGCUUUUGUGGGGUGCUCGAGUUGCGAACGGGUGUGUAACACGUGAGUAACCUGCCCUUGACUUUGGGAUAACUUCAGGAAACUGGGGCUAAUACCGGAUAGGAGCUCCUGCUGCAUGGUGGGGGUUGGAAAGUUUCGGCGGUUGGGGAUGGACUCGCGGCUUAUCAGCUUGUUGGUGGGGUAGUGGCUUACCAAGGCUUUGACGGGUAGCCGGCCUGAGAGGGUGACCGGCCACAUUGGGACGGAGAUACGGCCCAGACUCCUACGGGAGGCAGCAGUGGGGAAUAUUGCACAAUGGGAGGAAGCCUGAUGCAGCAACGCAGGGUGCGGGAUGAAGGCCUUGGGGUUGUAAACCGCUUUCGCCUGUGACGAAGCGUGAGUGACGGUAAUGGGUAAAGAAGCACCGGCUAACUACGUG